rnacentral:misc_RNA from 1 species
AACGCACAUUGCGCUCCCUGGUAUUCCUAGGAGCAUGUCUGUCUGAGCGUCAGUACACACCCUCCGUGGAUCUCUUUGUCGAGGUCCGUCGGGUACUGAGGUCUCGGGGGGUAACCCCCCUCGGUCCUCUAAAGUGGAACGCCAGCGGCCCGCCUGCCCAUGAAAGACGUAGUAAUCACGCAUGAAUCGUCCGCGAAAGGGUCAUCGGUGAAGGGCUCGCCUCGAAUCUUCGCAUCUAAGGUUUGACCUCAGAUCAGACAAGAAUACCCGCUGAACUUAA